rnacentral:rRNA from 1 species
GACGAACGCUGGCGGCGUGCCUAAUACAUGCAAGUUGAGCGCUGAAGGUUGGUACUUGUACCAACUGGAUGAGCAGCGAACGGGUGAGUAACGCGUGGGGAAUCUGCCUUUGAGCGGGGGACAACAUUUGGAAACGAAUGCUAAUACCGCAUAAAAACUUUAAACACAAGUUUUAAGUUUGAAAGAUGCAAUUGCAUCACUCAAAGAUGAUCCCGCGUUGUAUUAGCUAGUUGGUGAGGUAAAGGCUCACCAAGGCGAUGAUACAUAGCCGACCUGAGAGGGUGAUCGGCCACAUUGGGACUGAGACACGGCCCAAACUCCUACGGGAGGCAGCAGUAGGGAAUCUUCGGCAAUGGACGAAAGUCUGACCGAGCAACGCCGCGUGAGUGAAGAAGGUUUUCGGAUCGUAAAACCCUGUUGGUAGAGAAGGACGUUGGUGAGAGUGGAAAGCUCAUCAAGUGACGGUAACUACCCAGAAAGGGACGGCUAACUACGUG